UGGGGAAUUGUUCACAAUGGGCGCAAGCCUGAUGACGCAACGCCGCGUGGAGGAUGAAGACUUUCGGGUCGUAAACUCCUUUCGACCGAGAUGAAUUUCCCGCGACCUAACACGUCGCGGGAGUGACAGUAUCGAGGGAAGAAGCCCCGGCUAACUCUGUGCCAGCAGCCGCGGUAAUACAGGGGGGGCAGCGUUGUUCGGAAUUACUGGGCGUAAAGGGUUCGUAGGUGGCUUGCUAAGUCAGACGUGAAAUCCCUCAGCUUAACUGGGGAACUGCGUCUGAGACUGGCAAGCUUGAGUGCAGGAGAGGAACGCGGAAUUCCAGGUGUAGCGGUGAAAUGCGUAGAUAUCUGGAGGAACACCGGUGGCGAAGGCGGCGUUCUGGACUGCAACUGACACUGAGGAACGAAAGCCAGGGUAGCAAACGGGAUUAGAUACCCCGGUAGUCCUGGCCCUAAACGAUGAAUGCUUGGUGUGGCGGGUAUCGAUCCCUGCCGUGACCG
rnacentral:rRNA from 1 species